AGCGAACGCUGGCGGCAGGCCUAACACAUGCAAGUCGAGCGGAUCCUUCGGGAUUAGUGGCGGACGGGUGAGUAACACGUGGGAACGUGCCCUUUGGUUCGGAACAACUCAGGGAGACUUGAGCUAAUACUGGAUGUGCCCUUCGGGGGAAAGAUUUAUCGCCAUUGGAGCGGCCCGCGUCUGAUUAGCUAGUUGGUGAGGUAAAGGCUCACCAAGGCGACGAUCAGUAGCUGGUCUGAGAGGAUGAUCAGCCACAUUGGGACUGAGACACGGCCCAAACUCCUACGGGAGGCAGCAGUGGGGAAUCUUGCGCAAUGGGCGAAAGCCUGACGCAGCCAUGCCGCGUGAAUAAUGAAGGUCUUAGGAUUGUAAAAUUCUUUCACCGGGGACGAUAAUGACGGUACCCGGAGAAGAAGCCCCGGCUAACUUCGUGCCAGCCGCCGCCGUAAUAC
rnacentral:rRNA from 1 species